UGGGGAAUAUUGCACAAUGGGCGAAAGCCUGAUGCAGCAACGCCGCGUGAGUGACGAAGGUCUUCGGAUUGUAAAGCUCUGUCUUUUGGGACGAUAAUGACGGUACCAAAGGAGGAAGCCACGGCUAACUACGUGCCAGCAGCCGCGGUAAUACGUAGGUGGCGAGCGUUGUCCGGAUUUACUGGGCGUAAAGGGUGCGUAGGCGGAUGUUUAAGUGAGAUGUGAAAUACCCGGGCUUAACUUGGGUGCUGCAUUUCAAACUGGAUAUCUAGAGUGCAGGAGAGGAGAAUGGAAUUCCUAGUGUAGCGGUGAAAUGCGUAGAGAUUAGGAAGAACACCAGUGGCGAAGGCGAUUCUCUGGACUGUAACUGACGCUGAGGCACGAAAGCGUGGGUAGCAAACAGGAUUAGAUACCCUGGUAGUCCACGCCGUAAAACGAUGAGUACUAGGUGUAGGAG
rnacentral:rRNA from 1 species